AUAUAUCAACCUCUUCAGCUUUUGCUUGUUGAGUGUUGGAUGUGGGGGGCCUUUUUGCUGGUCUUUUCAAGAGGUCAGCUCCCCUAAAAUGUAUUAGCGGAACAAUUUGUUGACCGUUCAUUAGUGUGAUAAUUAUCUACGCUAUUGACGUGAGGCAGUUCAGCUUCUAACAGUCCAUUGACUUGGACAGUUUUUCAUUA
rnacentral:misc_RNA from 1 species